AUACGGAGGGUGCGAGCGUUGCUCGGAAUUACUGGGCGUAAAGCGUGCGCAGGCGGCAUGUCAAGUCAGACGUGAAAGACCGGGGCUCAACCUCGGGAGGUCGUUUGAAACUGACAAGCUUGAGUACGGGAGAGGGGUGUGGAAUUCCCAGUGUAGGAGUGAAAUCCGUAGAUAUUGGGAGGAACACCAGUGGCGAAGGCGACACCCUGGCCCGAGACUGACGCUCAGGCACGAAAGCGUGGGGAGCAAACAGGAUUAGAUACCCUGGUAGUCCACGCCGUAAACGAUGAGUGCUGGGUGUUGUGGGUUACGACCUGCAGCGCCGAAGUUAACACGUUAAGCACUCCGCCUGGGGAGUACGGCCGCAAGGUUAAA
rnacentral:rRNA from 1 species